rnacentral:rRNA from 1 species
GACGAACGCUGGCGGCGUGCCUAAUACAUGCAAGUUGAGCGCUGAAGGUUGGUACUUGUACCAACUGGAUGAGCAGCGAACGGGUGAGUAACGCGUGGGGAAUCUGCCUUUGAGCGGGGGACAACAUUUGGAAACGAAUGCUAAUACCGCAUAAAAACUUUAAACACAAGUUUUAAGUUUGAAAGAUGCCAUUGCAUCACUCAAAGAUGAUCCCGCGUUGUAUUAGCUAGUUGGUGAGGUAAAGGCUCACCAAGGCGAUGAUACAUAGCCGACCUGAGAGGGUGGUCGGCCACAUUGGGACUGAGACACGGCCCAAACUCCUACGGGAGGCAGCAGUAGGGAAUCGUCGGCAAUGGACGAAAGUCUGGCCGAGCAACGCCGCGUGAGGGAAGAAGGUUUUCGGAUCGUAAAACUCUGUUGGUAGAGAAGAACGUGGGUGAGAGUGGAAAGCUCAUCAAGUGACGGUAACUACCCAGAAAGGGACGGCUAACUACGUG